rnacentral:lncRNA from 1 species
UUUUUUUUUUUUUUUUUGAGAGAUACGUAGCAUGCUAACCGCUUCGUUUAUUUCAUUUAGAAAUAAAUUUAGCUGGAAAUGUGAAUCAACUAGGAUUCGAACUUGGAUCUCGAAUACCAACCACCAAGCCCAUUGCCACUUGCUCUAGGGACGGUCGGUGAGUACGAAUUAACUAUUUAAAGUAUGUAAAUAAUGUAUACUAUAGAUUAUUAUUAUUUUUUUAAAAUGUCUAGGAUUUGCUAUUUG